AUAACGUGAUGGGAAGCGUGCCGCUUCCCAUGUAUGAUUGAACCCAUUCUUUGGGUUUUUUUUGU
rfam:Oryza sativa Indica Group cultivar 93-11 Ctg049771, whole genome shotgun sequence.